rnacentral:rRNA from 1 species
GAUGAACGCUGGCGGCGUGCUUAACACAUGCAAGUCGAACGGUGAAGCCCAGCUUGCUGGGUGGAUCAGUGGCGAACGGGUGAGUAACACGUGAGCAACCUGCCCCGGACUCUGGGAUAAGCGCUGGAAACGGCGUCUAAUACUGGAUACGAGCAGCGGCCGCAUGGCCAGCUGCUGGAAAGAUUUUUUGGUCUGGGAUGGGCUCGCGGCCUAUCAGCUAGUUGGUGAGGUAACGGCUCACCAAGGCGUCGACGGGUAGCCGGCCUGAGAGGGUGACCGGCCACACUGGGACUGAGACACGGCCCAGACUCCUACGGGAGGCAGCAGUGGGGAAUAUUGCACAAUGGGCGGAAGCCUGAUGCAGCAACGCCGCGUGAGGGAUGACGGCCUUCGGGUUGUAAACCUCUUUUAGCAAGGAAGAAGCGAAAGUGACGGUACUUGCAGAAAAAGCGCCGGCUAACUACGUGCCAGCAGCCGCGGUAAUAC